rnacentral:rRNA from 1 species
CACGCCGUAAACGAUGAGUGCUAGGUGUCGGGGGUCAAACCUCGGUGCCGCAGCUAACGCAUUAAGCACUCCGCCUGGGGAGUACGUACGCAAGUAUGAAACUCAAAGGAAUUGACGGGGACCCGCACAAGCAGCGGAGCAUGUGGUUUAAUUCGAAGCAACGCGAAGAACCUUACCAGGGCUUGACAUGCCACUGACCGGUCUAGAGAUAGACUUUCACCUUCGGGUGCAGUGGACACAGGUGG